UACGUAGGGGGCUAGCGUUGUCCGGAUUUAUUGGGCGUAAAGAGCGUGUAGGCGGCCAGGUAGGUCUGCUGUGAAAACUCGAGGCUCAACUUCGAGCUGUCGGCGGAAACUAUCUGGCUAGAGUCCGGAAGAGGAGAGUGGAAUUCCUGGUGUAGCGGUGAAAUGCGCAGAUAUCAGGAAGAACACCCGUGGCGAAGGCGGCUCUCUGGGACGGUACUGACGCUGAGACGCGAAAGCGUGGGGAGCGAACAGG
rnacentral:rRNA from 1 species